GGGAAAAAUGUGAGAAUCUUUAUGUUUUCACACGGGAUCCGAAUAACAACAACCAUACCCGUAUAGUUUUGACCCGGGUAUAUAAUGAACAAAAAAAACCCUAAUAAUUCUAAUCCUCAUUUUCACACCGUCGUCCCAAAUUGAGUACACCAUACAUUCAGAGCUGCUAAAAUACUAAAUCUCCCAUUCCUUUCAUUCUCUCCCUGCGCUUCCGUCACAAACCCUAAUGGCGAAAUCCUACACCUCCAUCACAAACCAGUUUCUUCACUGCGAUUUGGAUGAAACGCUCCAGAUUCACAAUGACUAGGGUUUCCUUUUGUCUGGUUUGAUUGGAUGAGCACACAACAAUUAAGGUAUAUGUAUAGGCUUAUGAAGAGACGGGUGCAUUCCCUGCAUGUUGAUACUGGUUCAUGGCCAAGUUAUAAAGUGAAAAGGAUGGAAGUUGAAUUACUUGGUUUAUGGGCUAUGUGUAAGGUAUUGAGAGCUCUGAAGGAGUAUAUGAUAUGCUGAAAGAGCUAUUUCAGCAGCAAAGAAGGCCGGUCUUAAGGCAAAAAUAUCCACCCUUCAGGUAUUCUCAUGAGGUAGAAAACAUGGUAAGAAAGUUGCAGUCCAUACAUUGACUUUCGCAUAUCAAGAAGGAGUAUGUUUUUGUAAUGGAGCUGAAAAGACAACAACUUUGUUUAUGUUAACAGGAUAAGUAUAUCUAACUGAUGGGACUGCAUUCAUUUUUGGUCAAGAUAUGCGAUUAAACCCAAGGCUGCUCGCCAGCUUGACCUAAAUGCCUUGGAGCGCCUCUCGGUUUUUAAAGCCAAGCUUAAUUACAAAAGGAAAUGUCAAUGUUUGGUCAUCUUAUCUUUGAAAUUUGACCAACAAUAAAUGUUAUAUUGCAGGUUUGUAGUUGUUUUAAAAUACAUCAAUAUUUUGGUGAUCAACAUUGUAUCUAUUGAUUCUCCAGAUAUGCUAACGAUAAUAUACUAACGAGGCUUAUUUGGAAUAUAUCAUCACUGGUGUGAAUCAUACGGCACAUAUGCAAGGUCUUAUGAUUUCUUUACGUGGACCAUCUAUUCUCCAACAAACAAGUCUAUUUUUUCUGCAUUAUAUUAACUAAUUGAUGAUCCUUUUGGCGAAACCGUUGUGCGACAAUGUACUGCAACUAGCUCUUAAUAGUGAAGCAACGCAUGCCAGACAAGUGGUGAAGUUUUAUAUAACGAGGGAAAGAUUGUUCGUAUGCUAAGCCUCACCUUCUAUGCUUAGAAGCGGUGCUAAGUCGGGUUUAGAAGGUGAUGAUGUGGCAUCCCCUAAAGAAUGAGUAGUUAUUUACAUCUUAGAUUGACAUCUCUUCUUGAAGAAGCCAAGACGAUUUGAGCUACAAGCGUUCCUAUGGUUGUUACAUGGAUGCUCAAAAUGGCCCGUCAUUGGGUAAUUUGGAACACGAGGACCAUGAACAGAACUGGACAACUGACUGCUUGUCUUUGGCUGGUUUAGAAGCCAAGUUUUUAAGAAAGGGUGAAUUUCUCAAAUAUAAUCUUUGGGUUACACCUUAUGCACUUAAUGAAAACUUUCUUGGAGGUAAAUUCUGAAACCAAAAUCCAUGUGUCGAUUAAGGGCUUGCCUCAUGGGUCAAACAAAAUUGUUCUCUUGAGGUCGGUAAACUUUUUUCUUCUACUUAUUUUCUUAAAAGUAAUUAAGCACACACAUGUGUGUUAGUUGGGAUAUAGGAUCAUUAGCGAAAAAGUGUUGGAAAAUGAAGAUGAGUAGAUACCAUAUAGAUAAGAGGUCAAAUUAAUUGGAUAGGGAAAGUAAUAUUUUAGAUACUAUCAACUGAGAGUAUAUUCUGAGUGCUCAUUUUUUUUUCUUUUGCCUUGGUGUUUAGUGUGAUUUGUAUGAGAAACCGCAUCAAAGAACGUUUUGAGAUAUGAUUUUAGGUGACAUAAUGUGAAAUUCUCGACCGAUUUAUUCACUGGUUUCUUAUUUUCAAUUUACUCAAAAUGUAAAAGCUCAUGGACAAGUUGAUCCUAUAAAUAAUUUUCCAUUGGAAUGCGCUAUCAGAAGAGUUUUUAGAAGUUCAUAAGUAGAAGUUCAUAAGGAGAUGAAUGUAUGCUACUAUGCCCCAUUGAUACAUAAGUCAAGUUGCAACUGAACAUAAAAAUAGUUGAAUUUUUUGUUGUAAUAUGUUUUAGAUGAUUCUUUAUUUAGUUAUUUGUAAGUCCCACUUGCGGUAUGCACAUAUAAUGUAUAAAUGUGUGGACGCUCAGGGGCAAAAGUGAAAGCGCACUAAUUUUAACGUUAUUUUACUGUUUUGGUGAAAAUAACGUUAAAAGAGUGGAAUGGUUAAUCAUGCUUCAUCCAUCAUGUGGUGGCGGAGUGGUAGCUACACUGCGUAAGGUGUGUUUAUCCAAUUUAUAAAAGUAAUAUCUCAUAUAUAAUACCAUUAUUACAUAUAUCCGUUUCAAUUUCUAAAAGUAAUAUCUAAUAUAGAAGACCAUUAUUAUGGCUGAGACCUGUGAUGAUAGCUAUUGAUUCGUGCAGGUGGUGAAAAGGGUUUUGGACGUCAAAUAAAUUCCAUUGUUGGGAGUAAACGUACUCUGCUAGAGAUAGACUAGGAGAUACUUUGGAGCUUAGUAAUAAAAUGUUUGCUAUUUUCUCUAUUUGUUACCCCUUUACUCUUUAUGACAAUUUACAAUACCAAUAUCUCGCUUAAUUGAGCUCUCUACCAAUGGCAAAGAUGAGUAUAUAUGUCUGGAGAACUAUUUAGGAUUUCGAUUUAUAUGGUACAAGUUAUGGAUUGAUGCAUAACCUUUUCAACUUAAACUAUGAAAGGUGUCUGUCUAGCUUAUGAUGUCUGCUAUAUCUUUUUACACAAUGCAUCUAACUGAUAAGUUAGUAGAAUAUCAUUACUAAAAUUCAUGGUUAGUUGUUGUUACUUGAGCAUCAAGUUAGGGGGAUUUUGUGAACCAACAUUAGUGUUAAUAGAUACUUUAUAGUGAUUAUUAUUGUGCAAGAGUUAUUGUAGCUUGCUAAUUAUAAGUUACCAUUUACAUGAGUAGAAAUUGUUAUGACAUUAAUUAUAUAAUCAUUUGGUAUUUAAAGAAUCAAUUGUCACAAUUGCAUGAUUUACAAGUGUUCCAAAAUAAGUAGGAAAUAAAUAUUUUUUUAAUAAGCCAAUUUGCAAAUGGUGUUCACAACAGGUUGAAGAAAUGCAUCACAUGUUGUACCAAUCUGAGCUUUCUUCUAUCGUAUGGCAAAGGUUACUCAUUUCAUGUGACAGACUUUACUAGAAAGAGUUCGAUAAGAGAGAUGUUGGAGUUGUGCAAGGGGAUAAGCGCUAACAAAGAAAAUAAAUAAUUUUAUGCCAUCGAUCAUUUAUUAUGUUGAAUUGACCCGGUGGAAAGCGAGAAAUGAGUUGGUAUUCAACAAGCUAUUAAAGUCCGCAGAUCCAAUCAGUGAAGAAAUUCAAGCUCAAUAAGGUGCUUUUGAGUAACUAUAUCACGAAGCAAACACUAGGUAAGAUUUGAUUACCAAUCUGAAGUUGGAAUCUUGAUGGAAAGUAAAAGUGAGAGGAAGCCAUUGUUGGAGGUAAAGAAAGAGAAUUUUAAAGAAACUAAGAAGCAAAGCAAAUUGUAUGCUUUAGUAUUACUGCCAAUGUUAUUUGAUCAUGCAUGUAGUCAUCUGAGUCUUUGAGUUUGUUUUCCUUAUUGUAAGAUUUUGUUCCCGGUUCUUUAUAAUUGCGUUAAAAACAGUGGGCUUCCAUUAUGGUUACACUUCAUACCUGGAAUUGAGUUUCAGACUUAUAAUGAGCCUUUUAAGG